AACCCGUAGAUCCGAUCUUGUGUUGAAAUGCACUGCACAAGCUCGCUUCUAUGGGUCUG
rnacentral:pre_miRNA from 1 species